AGAAUCAACGCUGGCGGCGUGCCUAACACAUGCAAGUCGCACGAGAAAGUGGAGCAAUCCAUGAGUAAAGUGGCGCACGGGUGAGUAACACGUGAAUUAUCUACCUCCGAGUGGGGAAUAACUGAGAGAAAUCUUAGCUAAUACCGCAUAACACUUACGAGUCAAAGCAGCAAUGCGCUUGGAGAGGAGUUCGCGGCCGAUUAGUUAGUUGGCGGGGUAAUGGCCCACCAAGACGAUGAUCGGUAUCCGGCCUGAGAGGGCGCACGGACACACUGGGAACUGAAACACGGUCCAGACUCCUACGGGAGGCAGCAGUGGGGAAUUUUGCGCAAUGGGGGAAACCCUGACGCAGCAACGCCGCGUGGAGGAUGAAAUCCCUUGGGAUGUAAACUCCUUUCGAUAGGGAAGAUAAUGACGGUACCUAUAGAAGAAGCCCGGCUAACUUCGCGCAGCAGCCGC
rnacentral:rRNA from 1 species